rnacentral:rRNA from 1 species
UACGAAGGGGGCUAGCGUUGCUCGGAAUCACUGGGCGUAAAGCGCACGUAGGCGGAUUGCUAAGUCAGGGGUGAAAUCCUGGAGCUCAACUCCAGAACUGCCUUUGAUACUGGCGAUCUUGAGUCCGGGAGAGGUGAGUGGAACUGCGAGUGUAGAGGUGAAAUUCGUAGAUAUUAGGAAGAACACCAGUGGCGAAGGCGGCUCACUGGCUCGGUACUGACGCUGAGGCGCGAAAGCGUGGGGAGCAAACAGG